rnacentral:rRNA from 1 species
AGAGUUUGAUCAUGGCUCAGAUUGAACGCUGGCGGCAGGCUUAACACAUGCAAGUCGAGCGGUAACAGAGAGUAGCUUGCUACUUUGCUGACGAGCGGCGGACGGGUGAGUAAUGCUUGGGAAUAUGCCAUUGAGUGGGGGACAACAGUUGGAAACGACUGCUAAUACCGCAUAACGUCUACGGACCAAAGGGGGGGAUUCUUCGGAACCUCCCGCUCAUUGAUUAGCCCAAGUGAGAUUAGCUAGUUGGUAAGGUAAAGGCUUACCAAGGCGACGAUCUCUAGCUGGUUUGAGAGGAUGAUCAGCCACACUGGGACUGAGACACGGCCCAGACUCCUACGGGAGGCAGCAGUGGGGAAUAUUGCACAAUGGGCGAAAGCCUGAUGCAGCCAUGCCGCGUGUGUGAAGAAGGCCUUCGGGUUGUAAAGCACUUUCAGUUGUGGGGAAAGGGUUGUAGUUAAUAGCUGCAAUCUGUGACGUUAACAACAGAAGAAGCACCGGCUAACUUCGUGCCAGCAGCCGCGGUAAUACGAGGGGUGCAAGCGUUAAUCGGAAUUACUGGGCGUAAAGCGUUCGUAGGCGGUCUAUUAAGCAAGAUGUGAAAGCCCAGGGCUCAACCUUGGAACUGCAUUUUGAACUGGUAGACUAGAGUACUGUAGAGGGUGGUGGAAUUUCCAGUGUAGCGGUGAAAUGCGUAGAG